UUGAAUGGCCGCGGUAUUUUGACCGUGCUAAGGUAGCAUAAUCAUUAGUUUUUUAAUUGAAAGCUGGAAUGAAGGGUUGGAUGAAAAAAUAACUGUCUCUAUUAAAUUAUUAUAGAAUUUUAUUUUUAAGUUAAAAAGCUUAAAUUUUUUUAAAAGACGAGAAGACCCUAUAGAGUUUUAUAAUUAAUUAAAUUAUUUUUUUGGAAUUAAUUUGAUAAUAGAAAUUAAUUAUUUAAUUGGGGUGAUUAAAAAAUUUAUUUAACUUUUUUUGUAUUUUUAUAUUGAUUUAUAAAUUAUUGAUCCAAUAUUUUUGAUUAUAAGAAAAAAUUACCUUAGGGAUAACAGCGUAAUUUUAUUAGAGAGUU
rnacentral:rRNA from 1 species